UCUGUUUAUGCUCUCGAUGUAUUUCAUAAUUAAGGCCAUUUUGUUGCUGUGUGUGUGUGAGUGGGAUUCUGUGUGGGUGUGUAUGUGUGUGUGUGUAUGCUUGUUUGUUGUUGUUGUUGUUGCUGUU